AUUGAACGCUGGCGGCAUGCCUUACACAUGCAAGUCGAACGGUAACGCGGGGCAACCUGGCGACGAGUGGCGAACGGGUGAGUAAUGUAUCGGAACGUGCCCAGUUGUGGGGGAUAACUGCUCGAAAGAGCAGCUAAUACCGCAUACGACCUGAGGGUGAAAGCGGGGGAUCGCAAGACCUCGCGCAAUUGGAGCGGCCGAUAUCAGAUAGGUAGUUGGUGGGGUAAAGGCUCACCAAGCCAACGAUCUGUAGCUGGUCUGAGAGGACGACCAGCCACACUGGGACUGAGACACGGCCCAGACUCCUACGGGAGGCAGCAGUGGGGAAUUUUGGACAAAGGACGCAAGUCUGAUCCAGCCAUGCCGCGUGCGGGAAGAAGGCCUUCGGGUUGUAAACCGCUUUUGUCAGGGAAGAAACGCUCUGGGUUAAUACCUCGGGGUAGUGACGGUACCUGAAGAAUAAGCACCGGCUAACUACGUGCCAGCAGCCGCAGUAAGAC
rnacentral:rRNA from 1 species